UCACCCAAUUCACAAGAGCCGGGCGAAU
rnacentral:sRNA from 1 species